UUAUGGCCAUAUCACGUUGAAACACCGGUUCUUGUACGAUCACCGAAGUUAAGCAACGUCGAGCGUGGUCAGUACCUUGAUGGUUGAACGCUUGGUAAUAGCAGGUGCU